AGCCGCGGUAAUUCCAGCUCCAAUAGCGUAUACUAAAGUUGUUGCGGUUAAAAAGCUCGUAGUUGGAUCUUGGAAUGUGUUCAAGCGGGUCAGCUUCUGGCUGUGCGCUGCUUGACGUGUUCUUCUAUUUGGUUUUGGUGCGGUGCGCUUAACUGCGUGUCGCUCCCGGCCGAAACGUUUACCUUGAAAAAAUUAGAGUGUUCAAAGCAGACCUGUUUGAGUCUGAAUAUUCGUGCAUGGAAUAAUGAAAUAUGUAUUCGGUUCUAUUUUGUUGGUUUUCGGAACUCGAGUUAAUGAUCAAGAGGGACAGACGGGGGCAUUCGUACUCUGCCGUUAGAGGUGAAAUUCUUGGAUCGGCGGAAGACGCGCAACUGCGAAAGCAUUUGCCAAGAAUGUUUUCUUUAAUCAAGAACGAUAGUCGGAGGUUCGAAGACGAUCAGAUACCGUCCUAGUUUCGACUGUAAACUAUGCCAGCUAACGAUCAGACAGAGUUCUCUACGACUUGUCUGGCAGUUUCCGGGAAACCAAAGCGUUUGGGUUCCGGGGGAAGUAUGGUUGCAAAGCUGAAACUUAAAGGAAUUGACGGAAGGGCACCACCAGGAGUGGAGCCUGCGGCUUAAUUUGACUCAACACGGGGAAACUCACCCGGCCCGGACACAGUGAGGAUUGACAGAUUGAGAGUUCUUUCUUGAUUCUGUGGGUGGUGGUGCAUGGCCGUUCUUAGUUGGUGGAGCGAUUUGUCUGGUUAAUUCCGAUAACGAACGAGACUCUGGCAUGUUAAAUAGUCGCGGAAGUGCGUAUGCACUUGCCGAAUUGACUUCUUAGAGGGACUAGUGAUUUUAAUUCACACGAGAUUGAGCAAUAACAGGUCUGU
rnacentral:rRNA from 1 species